GACGGAGGGUGCAAGCGUUGUUCGGAAUCACUGGGCGUAAAGCGCGUGUAGGCGGUUCGAUAAGUCGAGUGUGAAAGCCCGAGGCUCAACCUAGGAAGUGCAUUCGAAACUGUCGAGCUUGAGUACGGGAGAGGGAAGUGGAAUUCCUGGUGUAGAGGUGAAAUUCGUAGAUAUCAGGAGGAACACCGGUGGCGAAGGCGGCUUCCUGGACCGAUACUGACGCUGAGACGCGAGAGCGUGGGUAGCAAACAGG
rnacentral:rRNA from 1 species